rnacentral:rRNA from 1 species
AGUGAACGCUGGCGGCGUGCCUAAUACAUGCAAGUCGAACGGAGUGGCGCACGGGUGAGUAAUAUAUAGCUAAUCUGCCCCUUGCUGGAGGACAACAGUUAGAAAUGCCUGCUAAUACUCCAUAGCAAGGGAUGAGACUAUAUCGUAUCAGCUAGUCGGGGGGGUAACGGCCUACCGAGGGUAUGACGCGUAACUGGUCGGAGAGGAUGAUCAGUAACAUUGGAACUGAGACACGGUCCAAAAUCCUACGGCAGGGAGCAGUAGUGAAUACUGCGCAAUCGGCGAAACCCUGAAGCAGCAUCGCAGCGUGGAGGAUUACACUUUGCGGAGCGUAAACUCCUUUUGUUAGGGAAGCGGUACCUAACGAAUAAGCACCGGCUAACUCCGUGCCAGCAGCCGCGGUAAUAC